AUUAAAUAUGUGGAAAUAGGUUCUUUGAACAAUGAGUGUCAAGGAUGAAAAGGGAAGCACGGUGUAAAUCCGUCACGGUCCCGCCACUGUAAAAGAGGAGUCAGUACAAAAAAACCACUGAUCAACGAAGGAUUGGGAAGGUAUGUGCUGAUGUGGAUUCUUAAGUCAGGAGACCUGCCUAUUUCAACAACACUGU
rnacentral:ncRNA from 2 species